GACGAACGCUGGCGGCGUGCUUAACACAUGCAAGUCGAACGGAAAGGCCCUGCUUUUGUGGGUGCUCGAGUGGCGAACGGGUGAGUAACACGUGAGUAACCUGCCCUUGACUUUGGGAUAACUUCAGGAAACUGGGGCUAAUACCGGAUAGGAGCUCCUGCUGCAUGGUGGGGGUUGGAAAGUUUCGGCGGUUGGGGAUGGACUCGCGGCUUAUCAGCUUGUUGGUGGGGUAGUGGCCUACCAAGGCUUUGACGGGUAGCCGGCCUGAGAGGGUGACCGGCCACAUUGGGACUGAGAUACGGCCCAGACUCCUACGGGAGGCAGCAGUGGGGAAUAUUGCACAAUGGGCGGAAGCCUGAUGCAGCAACGCCGCGUGCGGGAUGACGGCCUUCGGGUUGUAAACCGCUUCCGCCUGUGACGAAGCGUGAGUGACGGUAAUGGGUAAAGAAGCACCGGCUAACUACGUG
rnacentral:rRNA from 1 species